rnacentral:rRNA from 1 species
UACAGAGGGUGCAAGCGUUAAUCGGAAUUACUGGGCGUAAAGCGUGCGUAGACGGUAGCGUAAGUCGGGUGUGAAAGCCCCGGGCUCAACCUGGGAAUUGCAUUCGAGACUGCUCUGCUAGGGUGCGGAAGAGGGAAAGCGGAAUUUCCGGUGUAGCGGUGAAAUGCGUAGAUAUCGGAAGGAACACCAGUGGCGAAAAGCGGCUUCCUGGUCCAGCACCGACGUCAGGCACGAAAGCGUGGGGAGCAAACAGG